CAGCAGGCAUGUUGACAGCAUAAAGUGUCGUCGCGUACACGAUCCCAUGACAUAAUUAUUCCAUUAAAAAUUUGGGGACAGAAAAUAUACAAAGUGGACUAGCUGCGUAAAAAGCAGUCCACUAUUUAUCCAGAGGAUGAAGAAAUGUUGCAAAUGCUGCAGCUUCCGUUACGUAUGUAUGUAUGUAGUAUGUAGUUGCCGCGUUUAUUUAUUAUGCCCCAACCAACAAAACGAGUACACAUAAAUAAUUGCGGGGGGUAAAAUCGUAUGACUCAAAGUUCCAAGAACGCACAAAAUCGCACUGUGGCAAUUUGAAAGGACUGGGGGUAAGUGAGUGACUGACUGAGUAAUUGCAUCCAAUAGUAGCCAAGCUAAAAAGCACACAAAGGAGUUGACGAGUUGCAAGUUACUUAGCACGCUGGCAUUUCCGGCUAACAAUUGUACUUAUUGUCCAAAAGUAGUUGCUGCUGCUGCAGCUUGCGGACGAGAGUCAGAAGUUUUUACAAUGUCUGCCUUUUUUUUAUUUUUGUUAUUUGCUUAAUUUUACUGCUACAAAGUGUUGUGGUGCGACCUGAAGUGGCUUUGCAUUGAAGUAGAGAUGUUGUUGUGGUCUUGUGGUGGCACAAAUGUUAAACAAGAAAAAUUAAAUAAACCGACUUGAGAAAACUGUGCAAAUUCGUUGAACAACUUUGCGGGCACACAAUUGCGACAAAACACUUUUGGCUAAAAACUUUCGUUGGUUUUGAAGUUUACAAGCAAAUGCGUAGAUCAGUUACAGCUUGACGUUUUUUUUUUUGUUUUUAUUGAAUUUUAGUUAAUUAUUUUGUUGCACUCGAAUCUGCUGCACUACAAACACACGUUCAAUAGGCUAUUUUUUUAAUUUAUUAAUUUUCGUGCACUCAAUUGUUAUAAUUUAAUUUUCUUGUAUUUCCAGCGCAAUUCUUUCUCACAAAAUAGCUGCAGCUACUCGCUGCCCGUUACAUUUGAUCUCUCAAUUUUUAUUUUCAGGUAAUUUUUUUUUUUUUAUUUAUGUACUUUUAUUAUCUUUUGCACUGCGCCUUGCACUGUUCGAAAACCUGCUUUCUGCCUGCACACGCUUCCAAACACUUCUGCUGCCAACCAAACCGGAAAGGUGGUAUUCAUUCGUCUUGACCAGACAGCCAACAGCCAACAGCCAAGUAGAGAAUGCGAGUAAAGUGGAAA